rnacentral:lncRNA from 1 species
AUUCAAAAAGGGUUUCCAGCUUGAAUAUAUAUAUAGAAGACGGCAGUUUUCUUGGAGCAAGGGAGGCUAAAAGAAAAGGAGUUGAGGGAGAUUGUACACGUAGAGAGAGCCGGCUAAGGGAAAACAUUGGAUUACCAAUACAAUUGGGUGGCUGAAUUUGAUAAAAAAAAAGGGGCUGGAAUUGCACAAGUUAAAGCAUUAAAGUUGAUGUGAGGAUUAUAAAAUCAAGCAUUAGCAGCCAAUUUGGGGAUUGAUUAUUGUACACGUAUAUAGGCGGCUGGAAUUGAUUUUAUAUACACAGAUAGUAGCCUCCUGGAGUUGAUAUAUACACACAUACACGCAGAGAGAAGCAGCCAAGAUUAUUAGAUUAGGCACAAAACAAAAGCCGAGUUGCUGGGAAUUGGACUACAAAAAAGUAGGCUGCUGUAGAAAUCAUAUAUAAAUGCCAACAGAAAACGGACGGUGGGGGGGGGGGGGGGGGGGGGGGGGGGACAGAAACUGAAGGAUAAAAAGCGGUAGCUUGUGGAGAAAAGUGGCAGAAACUGAAAGCGAUUUCGGCUGAUUUGGCGAGUUGUUUUGGAGUCAAAAAUUUCAGUUGGUUGCUGCAAAUAAAGUCAGCAGUUGGCUGGAGAAAAACAUAGAAGAAAAGCGCAAAAAAAUAUAUACAAAUUGGCGGCUGAUUACAUGAAUUAAUUUGGAACCGACGCAGAUUGAGGUGGCAGCUUUGGAAGGAAUUUGGAAAUCAUUCACGUUCCGUCAAUUACUCGGUGAUGUUGCUCCAACUUUAUUUAUUUAAUUCCUUGACGUUAAAUUCGCUUAAUUGUUUGGGUGUUUACUAUGGUUUAACUUGUUUUUCAAUUACUUGGCCAAUAAUUGAAUUGUUUGUGGAUUUUAUUGUCAUCGAGAGAGAUAAUAGGAUCUUUAGCUCCUAAUAAUAGACGACGUGAGAUUCGAUAGAUAAUAGAGAUAUACCUCGAUGCUUUACAUGGUUGUUAAAGAUGUUCUAGCUCGUUAAUAUUUUUUUAGACGUUCGUAUUUUUCAUAGAGAUAUAGUAAAAUCAAGUGUAGGAUUAGAUUUAAUUACUAUCGAAAUAGGCUUUUAAAUAAAAUAGGAACAUUGACCAACAAGCAUGAUUUCAAAUUGUCAGUUUAAAUUAUCGAACUAAAAUGGAGUAGCAAAGAGGAUUCCACAUCUUAGUAAUACUUCUCGCAAAUUUGAUAAACUUUUUCUUUGCUUUCUAUUUAAUUGAUAGAUUUAAUAAAGUUAGUUACAACUCGACCUUGCUAUUCGAAUAAGGGAAUUAUUAGCUUUAACUCGAUCAAACAUAUAGUCAUCGUGGGUUCGACACUUUACACACCACUUUAUUAUCUGUUUACGAUCUCGUUCACUUGUGGGUAAUCAAACGCAUAAGUGUUUCCUCAUAGGAGCAUCCACAAAUUUGAUCAAUUAUUCUUCUUGCUUUGUCAGCCGAUAGAGAUAUAUGUCGACCUAAAGCGUAUACUUAUGUUUUUUUUCUUUCGCAUAAGGUUUACCUUGUCGCGCGAAAUAGCAAUAGAGCUUUUCCAGACAUUUGUAAUUCGUGGCUGCCAUAGGAGCACCAAAUAAAAAAAAAAAAAAAAAAGUUAAUAAGGAAAAGGAGAAACUUCUAAAAACUUCAGCUUCAAAUAAUAUUUAGCAGCUGAAAAAAGACACUGCAUGAUUGAAAACUAUGUACAUUGAGAUAAAGACUAAAGUAACUUACGGAAAAUUAAAGUUAGGAUCCCCAUAGAUAUUGACAUUCGGAUACUACAACAAAGUUUACUCUUUAAGGUGUGCAAAGUUAUUUACGACGUAUAGGCUCAUGCCAUAGAAAGUCAUGCCGUAAAUACUAGCAUCCUUUUACGGCAUGCAAUGAAAAACAUGCCAUUAAUAUAUUUUUCACGGCGUGCACUUGCAUGCUAUAAAUACUCAACUCUUUUAUGGCGUGCACUUACAUGCCGUAAAUGUGAAUUUCAUUUGUUAAAAAUAUUUAUUUAUUUAUUUACCAACAAGCUUAUAAUAAUUAAUAAUUAAAAGGACUAUAUAUACUAACACAUAUAAUAUAAUCAUGUUUUGCAUAAUUUCAAUGAAUAAAAAUAUUAAGUGCUAUCAAAUACAAUAUUCAAAAAUGUAGAGAACAUCAUUAGCUUAGUCAAAAAGUCGAUAUCAAUAUACCAAAAGUAUCGAUUACAACUCCAAAAAUAACUUAUUAAAAUAGUACAAAAUAUUCGACCCAUAUUGAAGACAUCCCACAAUCAUGGUGAUCUUCUGUUGGCAAGCAAGCAUUUGGACCAGAUUUGUAGCUUGUAACAUGGUCAACGGAUACCGAAUUGCUACAUGCCAUAUGCUUUUUUUUAGUCUGUGAGACUGAAUAGUCCUGGAACCAAAAAUAAAGAGGAAAAGUAAUUAAUCAUGGUGUACCUUUAUGAAAUAAAUACCAAGUAACAAACAUCAAUUUCAUUUCACUUGGCCUGGUGUAUAUGGCUACUGAAAUUUAUGAGUAAGGUCCUCUUUGUUAUGGUUCUUGUCCAAAAUUUAAGAGUAAACAACAAAACAAGUAAAAUAAGAUAAAAAAAUUGCUAGAAGAGCAAACUAGACAUACCCAAGUCAUGGCUACUUGUGCUUUUGACUCCAUUACUUGUGCAACUUCUUGGACUUCAUGAACCAAUCCAAUUUCAAGUAAUGAAAGAAUAUGCAUCUACGUUAUUUAACUAACAGCAACUAAAAAGAAAAAUAAAAACCAGGACAAUGUGACUCAAAACCAUAGCCGAAGGUUAACCACAAGACAUCAUAGAUCAAUUUAUAAAGAAACUAGACUAGAUAAAUGGUGGCAACGAGAAUUAAUAUUCUUUAGUCACUAUCAUAAACAAAAGGUCCAUUUGUGAAAAUAACGAGACCAUAAAAUUCAUAAGAAUGAUAGCUAGCAAUUUAUAAAAUUAUAUUAACGACUACGAACUUAAAGGGGGAAUGAGAACCAAAAAGGCUAGUCUCAAAACCCAGUUACAGGAAAUUUGGAGCAGUGGUGAGAAGAGAUGUGUUUAGAGCCACAUUUUUCCUACCUCUUAGUAAAUGAAAAGAAUAUUUUGUAAUUAAGUUCAGAGACCAUAUAUACCAACAAGGCAUUUAUUUAAGAAUAAAAUUCCAAUCCAACAUUUUGGCUGCAACACAACUAGAAAAAAGUUUAGUCAAAAUGUGUGAAGAUCAUAGUAGACCUUGUUCUGAACCCGAUUGGUCUGAUACUUCCCUCCAACUUCAUUUGGUCCAUAGUUCAUUCCAUUGUAUGCCACUGCUAGAAAUGGUCAAUGAAUACAUUACCGUAAAGAAGCAAUUGAAAUUGAAAACGAAGCACGAACUUUCCAAAACAAUUUCCUAUAAACACCAUUGAAAUUGCAAAAACUAUGAAGCAUAAACAUCGAUGAAAUAACUCCAACAUAACAUGCAAAACUUCUGCAAAAAUUUAUAGGCUAAAAAAUCUAACAUGAGCAUAAAUUAAUGAAUUCACCAAUCUCUGCAAUUAUCUAUAAUUUAAGAUCAUCUCAUAUUCCCAUUUUAUGAAUGAGAAUAGUCCCUCCUUUAGCAAAAGGCAUUUUAUCUCCAAGCGUUUAAAACAAGUUAUACAAGUCAUACCCGAGACUUUCCAAAGUACAUUCCCAAUAGUUACUAUACCAUGCACAGAAUGAACUGGUGGUGCAGGAACUCUGCUUUCACCAGAUUUAAAUGAAAAAUCACUUCAAAAUAUAUAGAAUAGAGAUAAGAAUGAGAAUACAUAGGGAAAGCCACUAGAGUAGAAGAAAAGCCUAUCUAGUCUCACAAAGAUAAGAUUAUUCAAUUUUGUUGACUUAAACUUCCUAACAUCCCCCCAGGGAUAUUAGGAACUGAGGCUCAGGCGCUAUAGGUUUUGUGGUAGAUUAUUGAGAGUUCAAUUUUUUGUAAUGGCAAGGAGGAUGAGAGAUGGUGGCUUUUACCCACCAUCCUGCUAUUGUUCAAGACAAUUCAAGCUCGGUUUGUAGAUUGGCACAUAGCAAAUUUAGAAGUCUGAGAUUUGUCUCUCUUCAGUCCUGACCUCGAUACAUUUUGAGCCUACAAAUCUGUUUCUUGAUGCAAAAUUGUUUGCAGGAGGAAGUGGACUGGAUUUUUCAGCAUCUAUACAGUAAAUAGGGUCACCAUGUACACACAUCUCAGAGUAAAAUAGGAUCUUUAAUCAGAGUAAUGGAAUUGUUUUUACCAUGUACAUAUAUGUUCCCAUUUGAGCAUAGUUUAGAGAAAAUUAUAAUUGGGUGAUAAAUUUAAAGGUAGAUAGACAUGUUACAAGUUUGGUGACUGAAGCUUACUAUAGAUUCUAAUCAUUCCAAAUCAAUAAUGAAAUCGUAUUUUGGCACUAAAUGUUGUGAAAUAGCUACUCGUUGGCCACUGCCCAAUGCAUGCCCAAAUCAAUUCCCACCUACAUUCAAUCCCACAAAUCACAUAAACAUAAUACCCAGGCCCCAACAACUCAUUUUCAAAUAGAAACCCUCCUCAAGUUUUAACAAACAAAUAUAAUAUCAAACAUUCUGAAGCCGGAAUUAGAAUGUUAGGGUUCAUUGAAGCUUACGGGAAGUGGAGAGAUCCGAGCAAUGGUGAGAAAAAGAAAUAAAUUGAAAUCAAAUACUUCCAAUGGCGUCGGUGACUCACAGUGAUCGACAGAUUUUGAGUGAUUUCUCUGUAGUCGCGGGAUGAACUCUGCUGUUCGUGCUCUUUUCAAUUUUGAGGGAUUUAAGUUUAACUAUUUGGGCCGUUUCUGUAAAAGAUUGGCGGGCUUCGUAAAUUUUAAUUUUUUUACAUACACUACAAGCACUAAAAGCAUGCCGUAAAUUCUCAUUUAAUAUGGCGUGCAAAGGAUGUACGCCAUAAAUACUUUAAUUAAUUAAUCUUUUACGGCAUACAUAUAGCGCACGCCGUAAUUAGUCUAUUUUUACAACAUGCCAUAGAUGCACGCUGUAAAGGAAUGUCAUAAAAGGCUGUUUUUGUUGUAGUGGGAGCACUACCAUACUCCGACAAACAAAUUGAACGGGUAUCCUCACUAUCACAUUUUGCAACCUCAAUAGGGGACAUUUUCGUAUGACCAUAAACUACACAAUCAGGGGGUGGGUUUGGAUCGUGCAAUGCCACAUGCUACCAUGAGGUUAUCAUUUGAAGCAAAUUGAAAGUUGUUUAGCAAUACUACAAAUAAGUAUCGCAACAACAAUACUAGAUGUGCCCGUAAGAAUGGAAGCAGGCAAACAAAAAAGGCUAACCAAUUAGCAUUUGGAUCCCAAUUCUUGACAUAUAAAAUCAAUCCAGAAACUGAUGAAUUUCACCGAGAUCCUCAAAAUCAAUUUUCGGAUCUAGAUCUUUCUUCAACUGUUGAACUCCUAAAGCCAUCAUAGGGACCACAUUGUUGUACCUAACUUUGAUCAUCUUAAUCAUUUAGGUGAAUUCUAACUCAUCAUUCUUAGCCUUAAUAACUGGAAAGGAUCUAAGGUCACGGAAAGAAUUCAAAUACCAAUCUCUUACCUAGUAAGAGGACAAAUAAGAAAUCAACAUGUAUUUAAUCGUUAGUACAAUACAAUCUUUUCUCAAAAAAAUAGAAAAAAACAAUGAAACAUCAUGUAAUAGCUACCUCAACAUUGAGUAGAAUCAAGUACUUGGUCCAAUUGUGCAUCUAGAAUUCCCCACGCAUAAUUGUGCAAAUAAAUUAGACACGGUCAUACGAUAAAAAGAUGUAGAUGGAAGGUACACAUUGUACUUACCAACAAUGCACUGUCCAAUUCAUGCCAAAAGGGCAUAUAUCAUUUGAAAAUAAAAAACAUGCAAAUUAAAUUGAAGAACAUUCUUAUACAUAAAUCAUGAUUUGAAACUUCUCAUCCAUGACUAAACAAUUAAAUAUGAUCAAAACACAUUUAGAUAAACAAAAGGAUGCAUAAGCAGUCCGUUAAUCCACAUGGUCUGCUUUUAAUAUAAUUUCGCAACCGAAUCAGAAAACACGAUCAAAAACAUAAAUGGAUAAAAAGCACCCGUUUUAAAUUAAUCAAUCCGUAAUUCUCAAAAAUUAUCGAACAAGAUAAGAUGCGGAAAACAAAAUCCAAAUUAAAUAAAAAGGUAAUAUUGAAAACCCUGAAGGGAAAAUAUACGUUCAAAACAGCAGGAUUAUGGGACAAACCAUAGGAGAGCGACUCCAACUAAAUAGCCCGACGAGCGAUCCGAAUAGGUAACUCCUUGUGGAGGAAUUGAGCAGAAAUGAGCAAAUUUCGAUCGAUGGGUCGGGACCUAAAUUUCAUCAUGUAAUAGACGCUAACACCCAUCUGUUUCAUGGCACCCCAUUUCUGCACUUCCUGUAUUAGCCACUUGGAGAUUCCCUCCGCCGCCUUCUCAGCCGCCAUGAAACCAACCUCCAAUUGAAUUUUAUAUUCACCGGUGCACAAACAAGGAGUGAAUUGGAGGAUAUGUACAAUGGCUAAAUUGACAUGCUAGCAUUACAUAUGCAUGCACAAAAUAGUCAAUUAUUGUUUCUGUAAAUGUAGUUGUUAAAACACACGGAGGCAACCUUCAGAAGAGAGGGGGCAUAUGUUACAACCCAAUUUAUCUAGUCAAAAAUCAAGAGUUGAGUUUUCAAAGUCAAAGUUAAAUAGGACCUUAAUGGAGUGAAUUGUUUUAUUGGGGUUAUUUUACAAAUUGACAAUCCUUGAGGAUUUAACAUGGACAUCAUUUAAAUUUGAGGAUUUAUUUUACAAGAAUGGAAAGUUAAUGACUAGACUUUAUUUAAAACAUAAAAGGAGGGACUUGACUUGCAAUUAUUCAAUAAUUAUCCAUUAAAUAUCAUCUAUAUUACUCAUUUUCUCAUAUUUUGGGGGAAAAUGAGAGAAGGCUCGAGAGAACCUGAGAGAGAAGAAAAAAGAAGGGAAGAAAGAAGAUGAAGAAGAAGAAGAAGACGACAAAGAAGAAAGAAGAUUAUUUCAAGCUAGGGUUUUCAAGUUCUUCAAUUUCUCUUUGAUUUAGCAUGGUAUGUAUAAAGUAUAUUGUUUAAGGGAUAUGGACAAUUUGCUUUAAUUCAAUGUUUAGCAAGAAAUAUGUGUUAUUGAUAUGUAUUUGAUGUUAUAAAUAAAGAUAUAGCAAAGAAAUGUUUAUUUGGAUAUUGAUGUUGAAAAAGGUGGAAACUUUGGAAAUGGGUUUGUGAGAUAAAUGCAUAUUCUUUGAAAUUCUUGUGAUUAUAUGAUGCUAAACACUUAGAUUAAGGAUUUGAGGUUGAAAUUCUCCAAAUUUUCAGCCAUUUUCGAGCUAUUGUAGUAUACCAGAAAAGUGCUAUUUCUGUCCGUGUUUUCGAUGAUAGAUUUUAAUAUAUAGACAUUGGUGCUAGUUUCAAUAUUCUGGAAUUAUAGUGCUAGUUUUGCCAAUCAUAUAAUUUUGGUGGAUUUUUAGUAUUGGAACCAAAUUAAGUAUUGAAUAUUUGGGGUUUUGGUGUUAAAAUAAUUUAUAUGAAGGAGUACAUGUAGUGAUCUUAAUUGGGAUUAUGAAGUUGAAAAUAAAAUAUAUCAAGUCCCCAUUGGUAAAUUAAUAUUUCUAAUGGUAGGAAAAUACUCAAGACUCCUCUAUGAAGGGAUAUAAUUUAUUGUAGCGAGAGCGAGAUAACAUUCUUGGUAUUGAAAGUGAGAAGGCGAUGAGAAGAUCGAAACAAUGAUCAACUAUAACUUGGUGAAUGGAUAUAAAACUUAUUUUUUAGAAAUUAAUUAUUUAUUAAAUUUACAUUAGAUUAGAAAAUUUAUUAUUUCAGACAGUUGAUUUGACCACGUGAUUUUUAGAAUGAAAUGGAUUUAUAAUCAGUUACUUUUAAAGUUAAAAUCAGUUUAAUUAAAUCAUUUCACUACCAUGUUUUAUUCGAACUACAUGUUUCAGUAUAGUCAAAGUUAUUUUUUAAAAACCACCAGAAUGUACCCAGGUGAUUUUACUCGCUUUACAUUGGUGUGAAUAUGUUUCCAUAGUGCAUGAUCAGUUAUGGUGAUUUUACCCACUCUACACUAUUGUGAAUGUGUUUCCAUAGUGUUUGACCAAAAUUACAGAAUUUCAGCUCUGCGUGUGUAUGACCAGAAUUUAAGAAUUAUAGAUUUCAGAACUAAAUAGUUUUACCAUGUAUAUCAGUACUAACCGAUACAUGAGUAAGGUUAUUCCGGGUACCUUUUUGGUGUGAUUUUUUAGUAUUUUUACAACUUAUCAGAUUUCAGAUUAUAGAAUUCGGCCUAUUCAGUUCUCAGAUUAAAACUUUCAGCUUAUAGUAUUGAGCAGCAGCAAUAUUUCAUAGAUUUUCAUGGAUGUCAUAUUAUUUAUAUUCGUUGCAUUUUACAGUUACUUAUCUAGAAGAACAAAGAAUUUUAUAAUGUUUUCAUGUUUAAUUUUAAAAGUGUUACCAGAUUUCAGAAUUUCUAGAAGUUUUAGUAGUGCAAUAAUUUUCAGAAAAUAUGUAUAAAUGAGAAAAGUUUACUUAUUUGAAAAUUAUCCACUCACUGAGCUUUAAACUCAUAUAUUUUUUCUCCUUUUUCUUUAUUGACAGAUAGCAGCCGAUUUGAGCAGCUUUAGAGCAUGUUAAAUCACCGAAUUGAGCCACGCUUCGUAGGUUGUAUGACAUCCUUUAUCAGAUUAUACAGUAUGUGUUCUUUUGGAGUACAUGUAUCUUAAAUCAAAAAAAUUCAUCAUGGGCUCAUUACAUCUUUGACAUAUUUGGUAUAUUUGAGGCUUGUUGGUUGUAAAGCAAGUAAAUAUUGAAUGGCUAGCAUUUUAUUUGAAUAGUUUGUAUUAUGAGGUACUGAGGUACCCUGUUUUAUAUUAUAGGUAUUGAAUUGUGGAAACUUGGUUAUUGUCCAGGUGGUUUUAGUUCAUAUUUUAGGGAAAACUCUGUCAAAUUUUGUUAAAAAUAUUUUUCAGUCAAGCAAGUCAAGUUGUCUUGGUGGUAGGUCCAGCAUUUAACUGGUAUCUACCAUCAGAGCACUGUACGUGUCGGAUCUAC